rnacentral:rRNA from 1 species
UACGAAGGGUGCAAGCGUUACUCGGAAUUACUGGGCGUAAAGCGUGCGUAGGUGGUUUGUUAAGUCUGAUGUGAAAGCCCUGGGCUCAACCUGGGAACGGCAUUGGAAACUGGCUUACUAGAGUGCGGUAGAGGGGUGUGGAAUUCCCGGUGUAGCAGUGAAAUGCGUAGAUAUCGGGAGGAACAUCUGUGGCGAAGGCGGCCCUCUGGUCCAGUACUGACACUCAAGUGCGAAAGCGUGGGGAGCAAACAGG